AGUAAUGUCCUGAAAUUAUUACUCCUUUCUUUUGGCUUCAUUAUAAAGAUUUUGUGUAUUAACUGAAGUGUCUAUUAUUAACUUAUAGGAGCGAAGAAUCAUCACCUGCAGAGAAGGAGAAGGAGAAGAAAAAAACAAAAACAACACCAAAAAAAACACAACCAAAAAAGAAAAAAGUUGUUGUGGAGGAUUCACCUCCUAAAGAAGAUCAAUACUUUGACGGUGAGACAUAUGAAAUAUCAAGUGACGAACUAGAUGAAUGGCUAGGGCAAAAUAUUGAUAAAUCUGCUGCAGAGGGGUAUGUCUUGCUAGGCUGUCUAUUUCAUAUUUUGGUGUGUUUUGUAUGCUAAUAAUUGUUUCUUGUUUUGCAGGGAGAACCAAGCUGACCUGCGAUCGACAGAAGGUCGCUAUGUGUCGUCUGAAACGUAAGA